UGAACUGCAAUAAAUAAAUAAAUAAAUAAAUAAAGUUUUUAUUUCUCAGAAAAAUCUUGAUAGCUUCUCCAGGCAGCAUUUGAACAUGUCAGCUCUCAUCACACAGGCAGCAGGAGCACCAGCAGUCACACCACUCAAGACCAAAGGGUAAAAGCUGUGUUUUGAGAUACAUUCACGGACAAGGAACAAGCAAAUGGGCAACCUGCUAAAGGAACACGGUCAAUGCAACUGCAGAUUUCAGAGGGAUUGAGGCAAAGAGGCCACGCCAAGCUCUUCAAACAACAGAGCCCUCCACACCACCCUGCUCUGUCCAUUCCAUCCACCUCCUUUUGCUAUCAGCCACCAGAAGUGUGGGUCUGCAUGCACCAGCCAAGUGAGCACAGCUACAAACGCACCACAUCAACUGCAGUUCAACUUAAAGCUUGAAAAGAAAAUCAGAUUCAUGUCUCAUUCUUCCUAUCUGUGGAACAUUUUUUUUCAUUUUUCAUCCAGUAUAGCAAAAACUGUCAUUAAAGCAUAUAUACUGAGUGCAAAUUCUCUGCCAUUAACAUCCCAAAAGCAUAGCAAAAAGAAGUUAUUCUGAAUGCAAAGGAUGUGAUCUGCUAAAGAAAACAAAGACUUGAUUUAAAUAAUACAAGCUAGACUAAACUAAUAAAACAAGCUAAAUGAGAUUUGAUGUUCUAUUUCACCAAAUCAAUUACAGUAUUAUCUGACAAGAAAACAGAUUUCAUCCAUUUCCACAGCUUCCCUACGUGUCUUAUUAAAAAGAAAUUAAAAAAAAAAAAACAAGACACAAACAAGCUAGCAUUAAUUAAGUGCUUACUCACUGCUCAUCAUUAAUACCUCCCAAUUACUUAGAGGGAAAAAAAAGUAUGUGUGCAAGCUUCUGUAGAUGGGGAUGUGUUUUUUAUUUAAACAAGCUACAGGAGACAACGUGAGGCUGAUGCCAACAUAUGUGUUAAUGUUAUGUCUUAAUUCCAAACGUGUUGUCUCAGAUAAACACCUGCCUUGCUGUCAGGAGGGAGAUGGAGCACACAGAACACCCGGUUACAGUAAUUUUCAGAAAUAAUGAUAUAGCGAGUUGUCACCGUUAUUGUUGUAUGGUAAUAAAGGAAAGAAGAACAAUGCAACUACUUGAAAAAAGGACUAAGUAGUCCUUAACAUUACACUUUUUUGUACUGAUGUUGCAGGGACAAAAAAGAAAUCAUGGGCAUGAACUCAACUGCAGCUGAUCAUUUUAGUAAAUAGCUGACAUCAUACAUAUACACACAUAUCAGGCCAUCUGUGCAAAAAAGUCUUAAUUGAAAAUGGGGCUUAAAGAGUCUGAGGCCUGGUGGACCCUGGGCAGCAACCAAAGCACAUCACUGCCUCCGAGGCAGAACGCAGCGCUGAGCUCCUACAAAUUAAAUGCCUUUGGUAGGAACCCGCGCUGAAAUUUGGUAAAGCAUUUGGUAGGAGGAAGUGAGCAGAUUUGUCAGCGGAUGAAAGAACAGAAAGACGCUUAGAUAAUUAAGAAACAUUAACUAAAUGGAAUUCUUAAUAGAAGUGUAGCCUUUUUUGGAAAGUUCUAAAUGUUUACACUGAUUAUACAACAGCAGCAUUCACUUACUUGACUCUGGAGGAAGGUUUGUUUUUGGAUGGUUUCAAUGUUUGGUGCAGCAGCCUGCUGCUCUGCUGCAUCUGUAGCUAUUAGUGAGUUACUGCCUCUCAUUCCUUGCACUUGUACUCUUCAGAAGGAAUGGCAGCUCAUUCAGCUGAACAACUGAUUUUUUCCCAGAGGUCUGAAAAGCUGAGCUAGUUCCAGGAAUGGGUACCAAACAUGUUUGUUCCAACAGGCUUUGUCAUUGCAUUGUUGUCAAGAUGAGGCUUUGUGCUAGGGAUGACUUUUUGGGGGAGUCAGCCAUUAGGCUGAAAUAAUCUGCCAUUUUCAAAGAAAGAGUGCUCAGAGUAGGUGGGAAGC